rnacentral:tRNA from 1 species
GUGGCAAUAGCUCAGUUGGAUAGAGCAACUGCCUUCUAAGCAGUAGGUCCUUGGUUCGAGCCCAAGUCGCCGUA